CAUAUUAUGCACUAAACAUGACGUGUUUCUAACGAGUUGGUAACUCUUUAGGUAUUCUUUAUUUAUAUGUACACUUUCUAAUUUCUACAAAUUAAUUUUAAUUCUAUCAGCUGUUUUUAUGACGAAGUUUACAGGUGUAGAAAAUCUUAAUUCACAUAAAUAGUUAUUAGUUAGGAGAUCUGUAGAUCCUAAAUCAAAAUCAGGAGUGGCGUCAUUUGGGAGGUAAGUUAUACUCGAACCUUAUUAAAAUGUUUAUCCAUUAUUAGCUCAAGAUGGUAAUCGAUAAUUUGGCUAUAAAAAUGGUAAAGCUUAUAUGUUUUAUUUUUUAUUGAAAUUUUAUUCCUGUAUACAUUCACUAGCUGUAUUGCCCAGAUUUACUUUUGUAUAUUUUUGAUUUUUAUUUAAUUUACUAUGUUAUAUUAACCUGAAGUUAUGAUACACAAAUUAUUCCUAGGUAUUCCUGCCGAAAUUCUUUUAAAAAAUGAUGAUUGUUUUUUUAAAUUUUUUAUAUUAUGAUAUGAAGCGUUUAAGCGUUAAAACGUCCAAAAAUUAUUUGGCUUGAAAUCGAUUCGUAUUAUGAAGACUUUGGAGGAAAUGUCAUAAAAUAUCCAUUUUUGCAGAACCUAGACAAAACGCAAGUAAUCUGAAUGUAAUCCCAGGUUAAGGAGGGGGGGGGGUUGGAAAUACUUAAAAUGUGUUCAUUCAGAAACUCCAUAUGCAGAGCUUACUGAUUUACUGAUUUCAUUAUUCUUUAUUCUU